rnacentral:rRNA from 1 species
UCCGCCCGCUGGCGGCGUGCUUAACACAUGCAAGUCGAACGGAAAGGCCCUGCUUUUGUGGGGUGCUCGAGUGGCGAACGGGUGAGUAACACGUGAGUAACCUGCCCUUGACUUUGGGAUAACUUCAGGAAACUGGGGCUAAUACCGGAUAGGAGCUCUUGCUGCAUGGUGGGGGUUGGAAAGUUUCGGCGGUUGGGGAUGGACUCGCGGCUUAUCAGCUUGUUGGUGGGGUAGUGGCUUACCAAGGCUUUGACGGGUAGCCGGCCUGAGAGGGGGACCGGCCACAUUGGGACUGAGAUACGGCCCAGACUCCUACGGGAGGCAGCAGUGGGGAAUAUUGCACAAUGGGCGGAAGCCUGGUGCAGCAACGCCGCGUGCGGGAUGACGGCCUUCGGGUUGUAAACCGCUUUCGCCUGUGACGAAGCGUGAGUGACGGUAAUGGGUAAAGAAGCACCGGCUAACUACGUG